rnacentral:rRNA from 1 species
UACGUAGGGUGCAAGCGUUAAUCGGAAUUACUGGGCGUAAAGCGUGUGCAGGCGGUUUUGUAAGUCUGUCGUGAAAGCCCCGGGCUCAACCUGGGAAUUGCGAUGGAGACUGCAAGGCUUGAAUCUGGCAGAGGGGGGUAGAAUUCCACGUGUAGCAGUGAAAUGCGUAGAGAUGUGGAGGAACACCGAUGGCGAAGGCAGCCCCCUGGGUCAGGAUUGACGCUCAUGCACGAAAGCGUGGGGAGCAAACAGG